CGUAGUAAUCUGCGAUAAGCUUCGGUUAGUUGAUAAACAAACUUUGAUCCGGAGAUUUCCGAAUGAGUAAACUCACUCUACAUAAGUAGAGUAUCUUCACCUGAAUAUAUAGGGUGUUAGAGGCAAACCUGGAGAACUGAAACAUCUAAGUACCCAGAGGAAAAGAAAUCAAUUGAGAUUUCCUUAGUAGCGGCGAGCGAAAAGGAAAUAGUCCAGUCACUAAAUCCAAGCAAAAACUAGCAAAAUAACCUGGAAAGGUUGGCCAUAGAAGGUGAUAGCCCUGUAUGCGAAAGUUUAGUUUGGUGGGUGACGAUGAGUAGAGCGGGACACGAGAAAUCUUGCUUGAACAUGGGGGGACCAUCCUCCAAGACUAAAUACUCUAUGCCGACCGAUAGUGAACUAGUACUGUGAAGGAAAGGCGAAAAGAACCCCGGUUAGGGGAGUGAAAUAGAACCUGAAACCGUAUGCGUACAAGCAGUGGGAGCCCUCUUUUGGGGGUGACUGCGUACCUUUUGUAUAAUGGGUCAGCGACUUACUUUUAGUAGCAAGCUUAACUUUAAUAAGGUAGGCGAAGGGAAACCGAGUCUUAAUAGGGCGUUUAGUUGCUAGGAGUAGACCCGAAACCGAGUGAUCUAUCCAUGGCCAGAGUGAAGGUGGGGUAAUUCCUACUGGAGGCUCGAACCCACUUAUGUUGAAAAAUGAGGGGAUGAGCUGUGGAUUGGAGUGAAAGGCUAAUCAAACUCGGAGAUAGCUGGUUCUCCGCGAAAGCUAUUUAGGUAGCGCCUCGUGUAUUACUAUUGGGGGUAGAGCACUGUUAUGGCUAGGGGGGCAUCCCGCCUUACCAAACCAUUGCAAACUCCGAAUACCAAUAAGUAGAGCACGGGAGACACACUGCGGGUGCUAACGUCCGUAGUGGAGAGGGAAACAACCCAGACCAACAGCUAAGGUCCCAAAAUUAUGACUAAGUGGAAAACGAAGUGGGAAGGCCCAGACAUCCAGGAGGUUGGCUUAGAAGCAGCCAUCCUUUAAAGAAAGCGUAAUAGCUCACUGGUUGAGUCGGCCUGCGCGGAAGAUUUAACGGGGCUCAAGUCAUAUACCGAAGCUUUGGACUCUAGUUUACUAGAGUGGUAGCGGAGCGUUCUGUAAGUCACUGAAGGUGUGUUGUGAAGCAUGCUGGAGAUAUCAGAAGUGCGAAUGCUGACAUAAGUAACGAUAAUGUAGGUGAGAACCCUACACGCCGAAAACCUAAGGUUUCCUCCGCAACGUCAAUCGGCGGAGGGUUAGUCGGUGCCUAAGACGAGGCCAAACGGCGUAGUCGAUGGAAAACAGGUUAAUAUUCCUGUACUUCUUUUUAUUGCGAUGGGGGGACGGAGCAGGUUAGGUCAGCCAGUUAACGGUUAUACUGGUUUAAGCAUGUAGGAAUGUUUCUUUGGUAAAUCCGGGAAACUUUAUUCCGAGACGCGAAUACGAAGUUCUUUCUUCGGGAAGAACGAAGUGAUUGAUACCAUACUUCCAAGAAAAACCUCUAAGCUUCAGAUAAAGAGAAGCCGUACCCUAAACGGACACACGUAGGUGGGAUGAGUAUUCUAAGGCGCAUGAGAGAACUCAGUUGAAGGAACUAGGCAAAAUGAUACCGUAACUUCGGGAGAAGGUAUGCCUUUUAUGUGAGAUCACUUGCUGAUUUAGCAGAAGAAGGUUGCAACAAAACGAUGGCUGCGACUGUUUACUAAAAACACAGCACUCUGCAAACUCGAAAGAGGAAGUAUAGGGUGUGACGCCUGCCCGGUGCCGGAAGGUUAAUUGAUGGGGUUAGCUGAUUUAUCAGCGAAGCUCUUGAUCGAAGCCCCGGUGAACGGCGGCCGUAACUAUAACGGUCCUAAGGUAGCGAAAUUCCUUGUCGGGUAAGUUCCGACCUGCACGAAUGGCGUAACGAUGGCCAUACUGUCUCCAACUGAGACUCAGUGAAAUUGAAAUUGCUGUGAAGAUGCAGUGUACGCGCGGCUAGACGGAAAGACCCCGUGCACCUUUACUACAGCUUUACACUGAACUUUGAAUUCAAUUGUGUAGGAUAGCUGGGAGCCUUUGAAGCUAAUGCGCUAGCAUUGGUGGAGGCACACUUGAAAUACCAGCCUAUUGCCUUUAGAGUUCUAACCCUGGACCGUUAUCCGGUUGGAG
rnacentral:rRNA from 1 species